UUGGACUGCGCUGUGCCAGGACCCCUUUUCCCACUGAACCAGAGGGAAAGCAGAAGUGUCAGUAGGCAGCUUAGUAGGUGGGAAUAUGAGGGCGUCUGAGAUCGGAGCCUGAUGGCUCAGCUCGAUCACAGCACCGGCUUCAUUUUCUCCCUACUGUCUCCCUGGACAGUUUCCUCCACUAUUUAACCCGUUAGUCAUGACGCAGAUAGUCAUGAAAAUAAUAUUGUGUAUUUUUUUGAGCCAGUGUAAAGGAGAAGCAUCAUCCUUUCCCCCUCCCCCACUGAGGCUAGCAGAGUAGUGGUGAAAGAAAAAUAAAUUUCUGGGGAACGGAGCUGAGCUGCGUGGUCUGUCCGUCCCUUCCUGUCUGAGCAAUCUUUCUGGACUCCUAGACUAAUUUUAAAAAUUGCCUGCAGAUUCUUCUGGGCUUUUGCACAAACACAUUGUAUGAUGGAAUGUUCUGAAUAUACUGGAAGUCCUAGCCACAGUGAUCAGACAACAAAAAGAAAUAAAAGGCAUCCAAAUCAGCAAAGAAAAAGUAAAGCUUUCACUAUUAUCAGUUGACAUGGUACUCUACAAAGAACAUCCAAAAGACUCCUCCAAAAAAUGGCUAGAACUGAUAACCAAAUUAAGUAAAGUUGCAGUAUACAAAAUCGAUGUACCCAAAUCUGUUGCAUUUCUGUAUACCAAUAAUGAAACAACAGAAAGAGAAAUUAAGGAGUCAAUCCCAUUUACAAUUGCACCAAAAACAAUGAGAUACCUAGCAAUAAACCUACACUAAGAAGUAAAAGACUUGUACUCUGAAAACUAUAAAACACUGAUGAAAGAAAAUGAAGAUGACACAAAGAAAUGCAAAAACCUUCCAUGCUCAUAGGUUGGAAGAACAAAUAUUGUUAAAAUGUCAAUGCUUCUCAAAGCAGUCUACACAUUUACUGCAACUCCUACCAAGAGUAUUUUUCACUGAGCUAGAACAAACAAUCCUAAAAUUUGUAUGGAAUCGCAAAAGACCCUGAAUACCCCAGCAAUCUUGAAAAAGAAAAAUAAAGCUGGAGGCAUCACAAUUCUAGACUUCAAAUUAUAUGACAACGCUGUAGUGAUAAAAACAGUAUGGUACACACACAAAAAAUAGACACCUAAAUCAACGAAACAGAAUAGAAUACCCAGAAAUGAAUCCACAGCUAUAUGGUCAAGUAAUCUUUGACAAAGUAGGAAAGAAUAUCCAAUGGGAAAAAGGCAGUCUCUUGAACAAAUGGUGUUGGGAAAAUUGGACAGUCACAUGUAAAUGAAUAAAACUGGACUACGUUCUUAUACCAAACCCAACAAUAAAUAUCAAAAUGGAUUAAAGACCUAAAUGUGAGACUUGAAACCAUAAAAAUCCUAGAGAACACAAACAAUAACGUUUCUGACAUCAGCUGUAGCAACUUCUUUCUAGAUAUGUCUCCUGAGGCAAGGGAAACAAAGGCAAAAAUAAACUAUCGGUACUUCGUCAGAAUAAAAACUUCUGCACAGUAAAGAAAACCAUCAACAAAACUAGGUUUGGAAUGGAAGAAAAUAUUUGCAAAUGAUGUAUCUGAUAAAGGGUUAGUAUUCAACAUAUUUAAACAACUUAUAAAAUUCAAUACCCAAAAAACAAAGAACCCGUUUAAAUAAUGGGCAGAAGAUAUGAAUAGAUAUUUUUCCAAAGAAGAUACCCAGAUGGCCAACAGACAUAUGAAGAAAUGCUCAACGUUCCUCAUCAUCAGGGAAAUAUGAAUCAAAACUACAAUGAGAUGUCACCUCAUACCUGUUGAAAUGGCUAAAAACAACCACAGGAUAAACAAAAGUGUUUGUGAGGAUGCGGAGAAAGUGGAACCCUCUUGCACUGUUGCUGGGAAGGCAAACUGGUGCAGGCACUCUGGAAAACAGUAUGGAGGUUCUUCAAAAAGGUAAAAAUAGAGCUCCCUUAUGAUCUAGCAAUUGCACUGCAUAAUGGCCAAAUUAUUGAAAUAGCCCAAAUGUCCAUCAGCUGACGAAUGUAUAUAGAAGACGUGGUGUGUGUGU